rnacentral:rRNA from 1 species
CCUACGGGUGGCAGCAGUGAGGAAUAUUGGUCAAUGGGCGUAAGCCUGAACCAGCCAAGUCGCGUGAGGGAUGAAGGUUCUAUGGAUCGUAAACCUCUUUUAUCAGGGAAUAAAGUGUGGGACGUGUCCUAUUUUGUAUGUUCCUUAUGAAUUAGGAUCGGCUAACUGCGUGCCAGCAGCCGCGGUAAUACGGUGGAUCCGAGGGUUAUUCGGAUUUAUUGGGGUUAAAGGGGGAGUCGGCGGCCUUUUAAGUCAGCGGUGAAAGUUUGUGGGUCAACCAUAGACAUGCCGUUGAAACUGGGUGGCUUGAGUAUGUUUGAGGCAGGCGGAAUGCGUGGUGUAGCGGUGAAAGGCAUAGAUAUCACGCAGAACCCCGAUUGCGAAGGCAGCCUGCCAAGCCAUGACUGACGCUGAUGCACGAAAGCGUGGGGAUCAAACAGGAUUAGAUACCCGGGUAGUC